rnacentral:rRNA from 1 species
UACAGAGGGGGCAAGCGUUAGUUCGGAAUUACUGGGCGUAAAGGGCUCGUAGGCGGCCAACUAAGUCGGACGUGAAAUCCCCAGGCUCAACCUGGGAACUGCGUCCGAUACUGGAUGGCUUGAAUCCGGGAGAGGGAUGCAGAAUUCCAGGUGUAGCGGUGAAAUGCGUAGAUAUCUGGAGGAAUACCGGUGGCGAAGGCGGCAUCCUGGACCGGCAUUGACGCUGAGGAGCGAAAGCCAGGGGAGCAACGGG